UAUAAACACAUUCCUGGUAUUAAGAUAAUGACGUCACGCCGAGAUAUAAAAAAAGAUGUUGUUAUACAUAUUUUCUCACAAGCAUUUUUUAGAAUACACACUUCUUGACUUUGAUUUUGGAAAUUUUGUGUAUGAGUACUUCAUUCGGAGCAACCUAAUAAUAGUUGAGAGAUUUACAUCACAAAGAAAAUGGCUCCUCGUAUUAAGACGACAACAUUCCAAUGCUUGAAAUGUUUUAGGAGAUUCUUAAAUCGUCAGCAUUUUGCGUCACAUUUACUAAGGCACCGAGAUGAAAACAAGAGAAAAUUGUGUCAAUAUUGUACCAUGUCAUUCAGGUCGUCUAAAUUGUUAGAAGUACAUAUGAAUACUUAUCAUAGAUGUGAAUAUUGUGACUUCUCAGCCAACAUUUUUGAUCUUAUAGAGCACAAUGAAGCUCAUAAAAGAAUAGCUAUAAAAUCCAUGAAAUUUGAUCAAAGAGGAAGAGGGCUACGACUGAAUGCUUUCCCUUUCACUGAAAUUGAAGCCUUUAAAGGCUUUAUGAAAACUUACAGAUUUAGACAUACACAUGAGGAUAAUAAUAUUAUUUCUGUUAGAGAUUUUUUUAAUAGAUUUAAGU